rnacentral:rRNA from 1 species
AUUGAACGCUGGCGGCGGGCCUAACACAUGCAAGUCGAGCGAGCGGCGGACGGGUGAGUAAUGUAUGGGGACUGCCCGCUAGAGGGGGAUAACUACUGGAAACGGUGGCUAAUACCGCAUACUAUCGGAUAACCCAUAUGGGAUUAUCUAGUAGGUGGGGUAAAGGGUCACCUAGGCGACGAUCACUAGCUGGUAUGAGAGGAUGAUCAGCCAGACGGGGACUGAGACACGGCCCAGACUCCUACGGAGGCAGCAGUGGGGAAUAUUGCACGAGGGGGGAAAGCCUGAUGCAGCCAUGCCGCGUGUAUGAAGAAGGCCUUAGGGUUGUAAAGUACUGUCAGCGGGGAGGCGUUACCCUCAGAAGAAGCACCGGCUAACUCCGUGCCAGCAGCCGCGGUAAUUC